rnacentral:rRNA from 1 species
GAGUUUGAUCCUGGCUCAGAAUCAACGCUGGCGGCGUGCCUCAGACAUGCAAGUCGAACGAUUAAACUUUCCUUCGGGAAAGAUAUAAAGUGGCGCACGGGUGAGUAACACGUAGGUAAUGUACCUUUGGGUGGGGAAUAACUUAGGGAAACUUAAGCUAAUACCGCAUAAUGCAGCGGCUCCUUCGGGAGACAGUUGUUAAAGAUUUAUCGCCUAAAGAGCAGCCUGCGGCAGAUUAGCUAGUUGGUAAGGUAACGGCUUACCAAGGCUACGAUCUGUAUCCGACCUGAGAGGGUGGUCGGACACACUGACACUGAAUAACGGGUCAGACUCCUACGGGAGGCAGCAGUCGGGAAUUUUGGGCAAUGGGCGAAAGCCUGACCCAGCAACGCCGCGUGAAGGAUGAAGUCUCUCGGGAUGUAAACUUCGUAAGAAUAGGAAGAAUAAAUGACGGUACUAUUCGUAAGGUCCGGCUAACUACGUGCCAGCAGCCGCGGUAAUACGUAGGGACCAAGCGUUGUUCGGAUUUACUGGGCGUAAAGGGCGCGUAGGCGGCAAUUCAAGUCAGUUGUGAAAUCUCCGAGCUUAACUCGGAACGGUCAACUGAUACUGCUUUGCUAGAGUACAGAAGGGGCAAUCGGAAUUCUUGGUGUAGCGGUGAAAUGCGUAGAUAUCAAGAGGAACACCUGAGGUGAAGACGGGUUGCUGGGCUGAUACUGACGCUGAGGCGCGAAAGCUAGGGUAGCAAACGGGAUUAGAUACCCCGGUAGUCCUAGCCCUAAACGAUGAAUACUUGGUGUCUGGAGUUUUAUUCUCCGGGUGCCGUCGCUAACGUUUUUAGUAUUCCGCCUGGGGAGUACGCACGCAAGUGUGAAACUCAAAGGAAUUGACGG